UUCAUGAAUCAAUUGUGAUAGUCCUAAAAGUAUUUUAUAAUAUAAUUUUGCAAGAAAAAUGUUCCCUAGUAAAUAUUGUGUGUUAAUAUUUAUCAUUUCAUACCAUCUAACCAGAUUUAAUGAAGCUUAUCAACAAGGCUACAAGGAAAUAUCUGGACUGGGGACUAGUUUUUUAUUGAAAGCUGAAUUAAAUUAUAAGGAACAUAAGAGUUAUGAUACUAUUGCAAAGAAUUGGUUAAUAGAAGAGUCGGUAUUUGGCGAUGAAAAAAACAUGAUCGUUACAUUAAUAACCGAAAAAAAGGAAGGAAUUGAAAUAAAAGUGUUUCGUGAUUUUAUUAGGUUGUUCGGAAAGUUUUGAUACCCUCAAUAUAUCUGAGUUUCAAAUGUUCAUUAAAUUGUUAAAAUCAAUCUUAUAUUUUUGUUUCUUAUACCAACAAUUGAUUAAAACCUCAGCUUUAAU